rnacentral:rRNA from 1 species
CACGUAGGGCGCAAGCGUUGUCCGGAAUUAUUGGGCGUAAAGAGCUCGUAGGCGGUCUGUUGCGUCCGCUGUGAAAACUCGGGGCUUAACCCCGAGCCUGCAGUGGAUACGGGCAGACUAGAGGGAGGUAGGGGCGGAUGGAACUUCCGGUGGAGCGGUGAAAUGUGUUGAUAUCGGAAGGAACGCCGGUGGCGAAAGCGAUCCGCUGGACCUCUUCUGACACUGAGGCGCGAAAGCCAGGGGAGCAAACGGG